rnacentral:lncRNA from 1 species
CGAUUUAUUAUCUAUUUUUUUUUUUCUUUCGCCAUUUCAAACACGAGACGUGUGUCAGACGCGUCGCCCAGAUUCUGUAGAGUUUUGGCGGCGGAAAACCGUCACAGUUCAAGUAUAAUAUCCGCGCGUAUUAUAAUAUUGUAUAUUACAGGGGACAGGUGACGUAUUAUUAUUAUUUUUUUUUUUUUAACAAUUAUAUAAUAUAUUACGAUAAGUAUUGUGUACUUUUUUUUUUUUUUUACACUGUGUUUUAUACUUGUAAUGAUAAAUUGUGUAUACGGAUAAUAUGUAGUGAUAGUUUUUUUUUUUUUUUGCGAGAAUUCGUGUCCGCGAGAUACGUCGCGCCGCGCGAAAAUCAGGAAUGCCGUAGCGUGUAACGUUUUUAGAGGGGAAAGUAAAACAUAAAAAUAUAAUGACCGUAAAGGCAAAAUCGUACGACGGGUCAGAGUGGCGGGGGGAGGGGAAGGGGAAUUGGCGCGAGGUCAGAGUGGUUAUUAUUUUUUGCGGCGCACGCUCGUAGGCUCGGCCGGGCAAAAUAUAAUAAAAAAAAAAAAGCGUUCGUCGGACGCGAAGGGGGGAAACGAUAAUCGUGCGCGCGCGUUUCUCUCUGCGGCCUCCGAAGAAUUUCAACGUACAACACAGUCGCGGACGGUUUUUUUUUUUUUUUUUUUUUCCCCCGUUUCGCAUUCCGUUCGCGCGCGUAUAUAAUAUCGGCAAUACGUUUUAUACCGUCGCAAUCGCGCGGUCCGCCCCGGUACACGCUCGGUUAUUUCGUACUGUUACAAUGUGUUCGCCGUCGGGAAUAUCCGCUAUCGUCGCGUUUACAUUUUGCUUUUCCACAGAUAUUGUAAAUGUAUUAUUUUUUUUUUUUUUUUUUUUUCCCCUCUUCUCGUCUGUAAUGUCAUAGCGUCUCGCCGCGACAACGCGGCGGUCAUUGAAUUGUAUACAGGACGCGUGUGCGGAUCGCCGCACGGCCGACGGAACCCAGACGCCGCCGCCCGAGGAGGAGGAGGAGGAGGACCCGACGACAUGUGACGUGAUGUGCGAAACCGCCGUCGCGUUACGCGCACCGUGUACGAAUCGGAAGGGCAUGUAUCGGAGAGAGAUAUCAGGCUAUGGCUGUUUGUGUUCUAUAAAGUCAGUCUUUUUCUCUCUCCUAUUUACCCGCCGAAAAUACCUACACGCACACACGCGCGCGCGACGGGAGGACGUUACCGGAAACGCGCGCGAACUGCCUGUCGGACGCGCCUGUUCGGGGCGCCUCUACUACUGCGACAGCCCGUGUUCGCCCCGCGCAAUGAUGACGGGCACCGUUGUGUAACCGACGAUAACGUCGCAAUAUGUGUUGUAGUUUUUUUUUUUUUUUUUUUUUUUUUUGUUUUUUUAUUGUUUUGUUUUUUAUUACCCGUGCACAUUAUUAUUGUCGUUGUCCGAUGUCCGUUUUACGGUCCGGACGUGUUCCCGAUACCGGGUCUUUUCGCGCGCGCUUAUUUGCCGCUCGGCGGGAGGGAGGGAGGGAGGGAGAAAUACGCGCACGUUCGCAACGACGACGACUGUGUAACGUGUCGAAAUAUUUACGGUGUUUUCGCAUCGCCCAGAGUUAUGUGCAAUCGUCGAUCCAUCGCGUGUUAUUCGGCGCGGGUGACCUCGCCUCGCGCGUUGCCGGGAUCGCGGGCGUCCGGUUGACCGCUACCGGUGGUUUCGACCGUUUUCGAAUCGAACAAGCGGUUUGCUAUUGUCGCGCGUCUUUUCGUCAAUACGUUUACGCACGCGUACGCGUCGGCACGAAAUCGCGACGUUUUACAGUAAUUACGCCAGACG